GCCUACGGGGGGCAGCAGUGGGGAAUAUUGCACAAUGGGGGAAACCCUGAUGCAGCGACGCCGCGUGAAGGAAGAAGUAUUUCGGUAUGUAAACUUCUAUCAGCAGGGAAGAAAAUGACGGUACCUGACUAAGAAGCCCCGGCUAACUACGUGCCAGCAGCCGCGGUAAUACGUAGGGGGCAAGCGUUAUCCGGAUUUACUGGGUGUAAAGGGAGCGUAGACGGCCAGACAAGUCAGAAGUGAAAGCCCAGGGCUCAACCCUGGGACUGCUUUUGAAACUGUUAAGCUGGAGUGCAGGAGAGGUA
rnacentral:rRNA from 1 species